AAGUCCCGCAACGAGCGCAACCCACGUCGUUAGUUGCUAACAGUUCGGCUGAGAACUCUAACGAGACUGCCUGGGCAACCAGGAGGAAGGUGUGGACGACGUCAAGUCAUCAUGGCCCUUACGGCCAGGGCUACACACGUGCUACAAUGGGGCAUACAAAGAGCAGCGAUACCGCGAGGUGGAGCAAAUCUCUUAAAAUGUCUCCCAGUUCGGAUUGUACUCUGCAACUCGAGUGCAUGAAGUUGGAAUCGCUAGUAAUCGUAGAUCAGCAAUGCUACGGUGAAUACGUUCCCGGGUCUU
rnacentral:rRNA from 1 species